rnacentral:lncRNA from 1 species
GCAGGCGUUUAAUGCUGAACACGGAUUACAGUUGCUUGCUGAAAGUCUGAUGGACAAACUCCACUCCUCCCUUCCUGUCUGUAACCAUGUGUCUGACUAUGAUGAGCAUGGCAGCAUGUGCACUGUUGUCAUGGCUGGCGGACAGGUUCUUCUGGACUAGAGGAGGAGAAGAUGAAAGAGGACAAGGAGGAGGACAUCUGGACAGAAUGGCGAGUGAGAGAGGAAGUCAUUAUGCAACGAGGACGCAUGGUGUGUGGUCACUUUAAUCUGGAGGGGGAUGACGUCUGACCGUGUGUGUAGCAGAGACCUCUGUGCUCUUAAAUACUCCAAGUGUCUCUGUAUCUCACAUUCAUUACCUCUAAUUAAUUUCGCAUCUCUGUGAACUGACAUGCAGCUUUGAUUCCUGAUAUACAUGACAUGAUGCUGUGACCUUCACUCCUCACCUCACCCUUAUACUCCGCAAGGUCGUUUCCAAGGAUACCCUACUCUUACUGUUUGGCCUUCUGACUGGCUAUCUACAUCUUAAAACAAAAGUGGCCCAGUAAGCAUAUGACUUUAUGAAUCGAGCACUGUAACCUCACGCUCCCGCAGCAUCACGACAGACUUUAGAGUCAGUAGUCAUGCCAUCACAGCAUCAGAGCUGUGCAGUUACUUAAGAUGCGCCCUGGUAAAAAAAAAAAAAAAAGAAGCCCAUCGCACCUGGGAGAGAAUGUUCUGUUCUCUAUCAAGCAGCACAAACCAUGUUCAUAUGAUUAAUUGGCUCAGAAUACAGCUGCUGCACUCAGAUAUACUCACACUUUCUUCCUGUUGUCAGUUUACAUUGAGGAAACUUAUUUGGGAUUCACUGUAAGUGACACUCUCUGACAGUGUCACUCAGAGUUUUGACCUAGUUUAGACUCAAAUGUGAGUGAUUAGAUUAAGUAACAUUCCUGAUCUAAACAUUAUGUGCUCUGUGUGUGUGUGUGUGUGUAGAGAGAGAGAGAAAGUCCACUGUAUAUAUCCAAAUAAUGUUUUAUGGUAAUAUAGGCUGCAUUUAUUUGAUUACAGUAUCACAGUAAAAAGUGAACAUACAUAGAAAUAUAAUUUAUUCCUGUGAUGGAAAGGCUGAAUUUUCAGCACCAUUACUCCAGUCUUCAUUGCCAC